AUUGAACGCUGGCGGCAUGCUUUACACAUGCAAGUCGAACGGUAACAGGUCUUCCGAUGCGGACGCGUGGCGCACGGGUGAGUAAUAUACCUGAACGUGCGCGAACUUGGGGGGGAAAGCGGCGAGAGCUCUGCUAAUAUCCCACACGAGCUACGGGGGAAAGAGGGGGGGCUUCGGAGCUCUCGCGGACGGGGCGGCGGAUGGCAGAUUAGGUAGUUGGUGGGAUAAAAGCUUACCAAGCCGACGAUCUGUAGCUGGUCUGAGAGGAUGAUCAGCCACACUGGGACUGAGACACGGCCCAGACUCCUACGGGAGGCAGCAGUGGGGAAUUUUGGACAAUGGGCGAAAGCCUGAUCCAGCCAUGCCGCGUGUAGGAUGAAGGCCUUCGGGUUGUAAAGUGCUUUUGUACGGAACGAAAAGGACCUUGCUAAUAACGAGGGGUGAUGACGGUACCGUAAGAAUAAGCACCGGCUAACUACGUG
rnacentral:rRNA from 1 species